rfam:Elusimicrobia bacterium RBG_16_66_12 RBG_16_scaffold_4786, whole genome shotgun sequence.
GGGGGUGAAUCAGCUUCGACAGAUGUCGUUGAGCCGAAGGCCGCAGGCCUGGGUUGGUCAGGGCCCAGUCAAAACCGGACCAAACAACAACUGCCAACACACAGUUGGCUUGGGCCACCGCCUAACACGCGGUGAGCACACGCCGGUCCGCGACACCUGCUAGCGGGUCGCCGGCGUCAUGAGCAGGGUGCGGUCCUUCCCCGUGAUCCCGUGGGCGGGGGGCCUAAGACCGAACGGGGUUAGCCCGGGGAGCACGCGUCCAUCGGUUUUCCCCGGGUGAAAUCAAGGAUGGGCUAAGCCUGUAGUGGUCCCGGCCGGCGUCGUUUGGACGCGGGUGCAACUCCCGCCACCUCCACCA